CUACAAGAAAUCGCUUGAUUACCAACUAAAUUUACCGACCGCCAUAAAAGUAGUUGGUAAAACAUAAUUUACCGACCGAUUUAGAAGCAGUCGUUAAUUUACCGACCGAUUUAGAAGCAGUCGUUAUUUUUUAAAUUUACCGACCGCUUCUAAAGCAGUCGAUAAAUUAACGUCUGCUCUCCCAUGUGUUACGACUAAAUAGCAGUCGAUAAAAACCCGACUAUUUCCGAAUUAAAUUUAAAAUUUUACCAACCGCCUAUUUGAAUAAUUUAUCGACUGUGUUUUAGUUGGUCGUUAAAUUACCGACCGUAUUUUAUACAGUCGUUAAAUUACCGACCGCUUUUACCGACCGCCAAGAGUAUUUAUUUAUUUUUAAAAAGAUUUUCCUAGCUAGAAACCCUAAGAAACUCCUCCUAAUCUCUACCCACGUUUGUACGCCGUAUCCCUCCCUAUUUUCUUUCUCUCUCUUCAACUUCCCUCAUCUCCCCUUCUCUUUCUCUCUCUUCAACCUCCCUCAAUCUCUCUCUCAUCUUUCUUUUUUUCUUCUGUCACUCAUCUCUCUUCAACGUCCCUCAAUCUCUCCUCUCUCGUCUUUUUUUUCGUCACUCAUUAAAAUUGAUAUUGCAAGCAUUAACGACUUCCGUUUCUAUUUUUUUUUCAAUGUCAAUUCUUUUAUUUAAUUAACUUCAGUGAUUUGAUUUUUUCUCUUUUUAUAUUUUUGUGUUUGAAUUUUAAAUCUGAUGAGUUUGUGUGUGCUGAAUUUUUAUGUAGGUGAAGAAUUUGAGUAGAUCUUCGAUAUGAUGGAGUUAAGCAUUGAAGAACAAAGCUCUAAAGAGAAGAUCUGACAGAGAAUUACUUGGAGGUGAAGAAGGAGAAUAGAUCUAUGUGUUUUCACAAUAAGGGAUUUAAUCUCGACAUUUGUUGAUACCAAGAACCGUUGAUUUGAUAAAUUUGGGAAGAAGUUGGAAGGAAAUAACUUCAAGCAUACAUAGUCUGAGGUUUAUGUUUAGUUUUAGAUCGAUUUUUUUUAGAAUUAUUCUUACUCAUCUUUGUAAUUGUAAUUCAAGUGAAUUGUGUCAUAAUAAAAGUUCCUUUUAUUACUUUA